UUUAGGUUGACCCGGAAUAACUCUGAAAACAUGUCAUGUAAUAUUUGUAAACUUUAUCUUGAUCCUAAAUUAGAAACAUUAUAUAUUUUCACUUUCUUGAUAAUGGACUAUAUUUGAACGUGAUUUCUUCAGUUUGAUUGAUUGUCAGUACAGUAAAAUAGACGAUCUGCCAUGGGAGACACUUCUCUCGUACUAGAGGGCGAUUUCCUGUAUAUUCUAGUGCUGGUGAUUAUAGUGGCGCACCUGUCUAUCAUGGUGAUAGUUAUAUAUUAUUCUUGCUGUAGGAAAAAAUGUGUGUGUCGUAUAAAUAUACAAAACAACACUAUACAUCAAAACAGUUCAAGUGAAACAGCAAGAAUUAGUGCAAGAAUAGCUCAAAGUGACUUAACCGACUCUGAUAGUGAAGUUGGAACUCACGAGAGACCAGUAACAAACGGGUCUACCUCAUUAAUUACACAAGUUCGAACCCGGCUACACGGUCAUACAGACACAACCGGACCUCCAGAAGUACAAACUACCGGGCUACCACCCCCAUAUUCUGGGCAUGAGAUCAGUGUUGAGUACACAAAUGCUGGUGCAAGUUUUGAAGAUAUAGAUCUGCAUUUACCGUCGUACGACGAUAUCGCCGGUCAAUUGCCGUCUUGGAGCGAAAUUCAAGAAACGGGACAAUAUGAAACUGAGAAACCGCCGACGUAUGAAGAGGCUGCAGCGGCAAAGAGGCGGGAAAGUUGAUAAACGUGUAGAUAGUACAAAAUUAACUAAUAUUAGAUUAUAGUGUUUACUUUGGUGUUAGUCCCAGUAUUGCUCACCUAGACUUAUUUCAUCCCAGACGAUCUAGUUUCCACUUUAAAGGUUUUAUGUAGAGUAUAUAACAACUGUGACCUCUAGAGUGUUAGCAAGGUGUUUCUGUGAUUUACCCUACUGACCUAAUUUUGAACCUGGCCUACACAUUAUAAAGGUAAACAUGCUCAAAAGGUCUUCUGAUGUACAGAUAGCAAAUGUCGCCUCUUAGGUUUUAAGAAUUAAUUUAGUGGCCUAAUUUAGAGCCAAGAUGACCCAUUUAAAUACUCCAGAUUCUGACUAGUAAAUGUGGUCUCUACAAUGUUAACAAGAAUUUUCUGAUUUGACCUAGUAAACUACUUUUUAACCUCAUAUGACGUGCAAUUUUAGCAUCAAGAACAGUCAAAUGGAAACAUCUGAAAAAAGAGACAAAUAUUCUGACCUUGUUUUAUAUAAAUAAGGCAGACCAUUACCUAUGUUUUUCAAUUAUUUGACCAUGUCAAAUGGAAACAUCUGAAAAACCUUGAGACCUAGGUUUUUACCAAAGAGACCCAGUUACAAUUUAUCCUAUAUUUUAAACAGACAAACAUUUUGUCUAAGUGUCAAGAAACUAACGAUUAGAAUUACACAAAAUUUGGACACUGUAGCAUCCUCGCAUAGACCUCUUUCGAGUUUGCUCAAAUGGUUUUGAUGGCUCCUUUAAAGGGCCGUCGGAUCGAAAACUAAAAUAUAAAAAAAAAAUAAACGACUUCUUCUCAUGAGCCACCCGAGUGUGUGUGUUCGGGUUUAACGUCCUUUUCAACAAUUUUUCAGUCAUAUAAACGACGGCAUGAGCCACCUGAACUUAAUAUAUACGUAUAUUUGGCCCUGUCUCAUUUAUGCAUGGUUCAGCUUGCAAUGCCCCUUUUAGAGGACACAUGAGUGUAAAAUAGAAACACUUUAAAUGACCUCCUGAAAAAGAUGAUGGAUCGUCAACAAACUUGGUCUGCAGCGUCCUUGUCCCGGCUGUUUUCAUUUUUAAACAAAUGGUUUCGCUUGGCCCCUUUUAUGGGCCACAGAGCUAAAAUAGAAACAAAAUCUUAUGACCUUCACAUGAGCGUUCUGAUUGGUCUUCACCAUCCUCUCUCAUGUUUGUUAAAAUGGUUUUACUUGGCGUAUUUUUGGGGCCGCUAGAACUACAAAUAGACCAAAACCUUUAAAUGACUUCUUUUAAUGAACCACUGGAUGGAUUUUUCACUAAACUUAGUGUGCAGCAUCCUCUUAUACGUUGUCAAAUGGUUCCGUUAGUCCGCUUUAAUGAGCCAUCAGAGAUAAAAUAGAAAAAAUAUCUCAAGAACCAGAUGAUUGAUCUGUAGCAUCCUUAUGUUGUAUUCUUUCAAUUUCUUUUAAGGGGGUUCUGCUUGACCCCUUUCACGGGAGCCUAAGGUAAGAAAAAAACUUAAAACGACAUUUUCUCAUGAACCAUAUGAAGGAUCUUUAUAGCAUCUUUGUAUGGCCCUCUCUCAAGUUGUUAAAAUAGUCUGUUUGGCAUCUUUCACGAGUGAACAGAGCUAAAAUGAAUAACCGUUCAACGACUUCUACUUAACAGAUCUUCGCAAAAUUUGGUUUGUAGUAUCCUUGUUUGAUCUUCUCUCAGUUUUGUUUACGUGGAAUAGCUUAGCCCUUUUUAAGGGCCGUUAGAAAUAAAAUAGAGAACAACAACCAUAAACGACUUGUUCUUAUACCACUUGAAAUAUCAUCACCAGAUUUGUUCUAAUAUUCCCCCGCCUUCACGAAAUAACCAUUGUCGUCGCAUCCAGAAGUAUUUUGUAAGCGAAAGUAUUUGAUAAUGGAUAAAACGUUUUAGUCAAAACACGUGAUGAUAUAAAAUUGUGUCGAUACUUUAUCUUUAGGUUGACCCGGAACAACUCUGAAAACAUGUCAUGUGAUGUUUGUAAACUUUAUCUUGACCCUAAAUUUGAAACAUUAUAUAUUUUCACUUUCUUGAUAAUGGACUAUAUUUGAACGUGAUUUAUUCAAUUUGAUUGCAAGUACAGUAAAACAGAUUAUCUACCAUGGGCGACACCGGGCAAGACACUUCUCUCAUACCAGAGAACGAUUUUCCGUACCUUCUAGUGCUGGUGGUUAUAGUGGCGCACCUGUCUGUCAUGGUGAUAGUUAUAUAUUAUUCUUGCUGUAGGAACAAAUGUGUGUGUCGUAUAAAUAUACAAAACAACACUAUACAUCAAAACAGUUCAAGUGAAACAAGAAGAAUUAGUGCAAGGAUAGCUCAAAGUGACUUAACCGACUCGGAUAGUGAAGCUGGUGAAGCUGGAACUCAAAGAUCGGUAACAAACUUGUCUACCUCAUUAAUUACACAAGUUCGAACCCGGCUUCACGGUCAUACAGACACAACCGGACCUCAAGUGGUAC